rnacentral:rRNA from 1 species
GACGAACGCUGGCGGCGUGCUUAACACAUGCAAGUGGUGCGACGAACCAGGGCUUGCCCUGGGGCAAAGCCGCGAACGGGUGAGUAACACGUGGGUAAUCUGCCCCGAUGACCGGGACAACCCGAGGAAACUCGGGCUAAUACCGGAUGAUGAGCCUUGGCGUAAGCCUUGUCUCUAAAGGAAGCUUCGGCCUCCGCAUUGGGAGGAGCCCGCGGCCCAUUAGCUUGUUGGUGGGGUAAUGGCCACCAAGGCAACGAUGGGUAGCUGGUCUGAGAGGACGAUCAGCCACACUGGGACUGAGACACGGCCCAGACUCCUACGGGAGGCAGCAGUGGGGAAUCUUGCGCAAUGCGCGAAAGCGUGACGCAGCAACGCCGCGU